GAUUUUCUGUAUCUGUGUCCUUGGGUGGCACUUCUCCCCAUAGCAGGAUGUUGAUAGGCCCAAAUUUGCCAAACAUUUUGUGGCAGUAAUCGCAACUGCCGUGAGAUCAGGAGUAUGAAGGUGAUAUCAUGCUUCAAAAAGUGCUCUAUCUCACCCCGCUCCCUGGCCUGCUUUGGCCCCUAUAGUCUGUUCACCCUCUCUCCGUUCACCCGCUCUCCGAAUGUUCCAUGAGCCUGGGGAUGGGGGGAGGCUUGAAAGAUAACCCUUAUUUAUGGCUGUGCAUUCAAUAGUCCCUUGUCCUCUGCAUUGUGAACAGGUGUGAGUCUCUGCACUUACCAGUGCCCACAGCCAAAAGAAGCUUCUCUGUGCAAGGCUGAAGGUAGCAUCAACCUGUGCCAAAAAAGACUUCUCUCAGAAACCGGAACAGAUCUCCUGUUGACUCUAACGGCUUCAGGCCCCGCCUCCUUGGCUUCCUGAUUGGAGUUUGCUUCAAGUCUCCCAUUUUUUUUUAAAAGCUGCUUUGAAAAGUAGUUGAGGACAGCAUCCCUAGUAGCCUCAGCAAGCCACAGGCUCCUUCUAUGUUCAAAAUGUGAAUAAGCUUUUCUUUCUGUGGUCUAGUAAGAAAAUGAAAUGAUUUGGGAAUAACGGCAUUUUGUAUUUGACUCCAAGGACCCAGUUUGGUAAAACACAGGGAAGUCCUCAUAUUAAGUGGCUCAGAAAGACAGGCGGUAAGUCCUCUGAGGCUAAGCCUCUAAAGCCCUAAGACAGGCGCUAACGCUCCCUCCCUAACCUGUUCUGUCUUCAUUGGGAAGUGGAGCCCCUGCCCUUGCCCUUGCCUGGGGAGCCCUGGCUUUGCCCCAGCCCGACCCCAAGAGGUAUCGCCACAUAUGAAAUCUCUUCCUUUUUCCUGUCCUGUCCCCUUUCAUCAGAUUCGCCCUUAAGCCUUUCUUGUCACUUAGAUAUUUCUGGAGAGCAUCCUUCCCUACUUUGUUCAGAAGCUGGGUGACUCAUCAUUUCCCAGGUGACACAUUCCUAGGGUCCAUUCCAGGCGAAUCAGCUUCCUCUCCUAAAACAGAGCAGUUAUUAAAGCCUUUAUUCAACCCACCCUGAAAUGAAAGUGUCUGUCUGCGCUUCAGCCCUGGCUGGGCCUUGCUCCUUUCUCGUUUCCGCACAGAGUAUUGUUUAGAGUUUUGAGCACACUAGCCCCCAGGUACAGCACCAAUGUCGUCAUUUAAUUUGAAUUUCCCAACAUGUAUUUAUUUUUACGGUGAGGUGUUCAUUAGAGAAAGGAAGAAGAGGCAUUAAAAAGUAAUUUGCGAGAAUUGGGAAUGAUCACAUCUAACAAUUGAAACAGCGAUCCGCAGUUUUGGAAAGAAAAAAAAAACCGGCUCUAGAAUGUAACAGUAAGAGACACAUAAUGGCAGUGCCUGGGCUGGAGCGCAUUGGAAAUGAAAUCUGAGAGGAGGCCGUGUGACUGCCUGGGUUCCCAUGUUGCACGCCAGGGAGGCUGCGGAUGCUUUCCUUCAUCUUUCCAGCACCAGCCCAGAUCCCUUGUAAGGAAAUGCAGCUUUCGUAGCCCUAAGAGCAGAAAAUGGAGACAAUAGCUGUGAUAAAGUGUCAAUUCCUGAGUGCAGCUUAUCCCUGGAGAGCCUUUCGGGUUUGGAAGGAGAGGCAAGACAAUCUGAGAUCAUCCUAGGUGAUAGACAUGGAGUGGAUUGGAGGAAGGCAGAGAACUGCUGACACCCAGGCUGUCUGUCACAGCAAGAACAUCUCUCACAAGCUGGCCUGCAGAGCUGAUGCUUAGUGACCCCCACCCGUUCUCUCUCAAGCCUAAAAUUUACGAGUUUCCCUGCAAGCUCUAGUGCAGUGUUCAGGGCCAUCCUCAUCUCUGUCUUGUCUUAAACCGGACAGACAACCUCUGAGUCCUCCCCAGCACAUUCCACCCAGGGUCUGGGGUAUCAGAGUGCUCCAACAUCAUGUUCAUGGUUUCUAUUUCUGUGUUCUGCUACAGAGCUCUGGAAAACAAAAAACAAAAAAAAACCUUUCCCACUUGAAAGAGAAAGGAUUCUGCUUCCUUGUUUAACCCUCAACCAAGCAUCAUCCUCUCAUUUUUUAUGGUCCUGGGAGGUAGCUAGUUUAUACUCUUUGAAUGACUCUCCUGCCUUAUUAAAUAAAAGAUGCAGCUGUAAGAUUUUAGCAAACCGAGAUUCUGCAAAGAAGGACAGCUGACUCCAGCAGCUGCCUCUCUUCUCCGUACCGUUUGCCCUCCGUUCCAGAUCACAAGCUAGGUUCUCUCCUCCAUCACAUGUCUAUUCCAUAAUGGAGGCGUUAGCAUCCUUUGAAGCCAAGAACAGCAUAUGUGAAAACAGUAACUCUUGCCCAUACAGACAUCAAUAAUUGAUCACUUCAGUCUAGCCUGCUGAUAGCUGAUUUGGCCAGCCUUUUCAGUACAGUGAUCGAUUAAUUUAUUGAAAUUGGCAUGUUAAGAAAACAAUUUUUGUGUUGUUGCAUAGUUUUGGAGAUGAGAGGCAGGCAGAGGGCACACAGACAUAAAAACCAUAACACUCAUAUCAAGACGUUUUAUUUAGAGACUAACAGAGGAUCAUACAUCACUCUUUUUUUUCUCUACAGUUUUAUUGAUCAGCUAUUGUUCUAACAAGCAGGCUAAAUGCUUCAAUGAAGACCACAGUGCUAGCCUAUAUUCAUGGGCUUUCCUUAGUAUUAUAAUCUCAGGUGUGAAGCAUGAAAGAUCCAUUCUGAGCCCAUUCCUUUUGGUUUGCUCAUGCCAAGUGAGAGCUACAGACAUAUCCACACUACAAAAUAACAAAGGAGACAGAUGUGCCAGAGGUAGCUUAACCCUCCAGGGAUGGAAUCUCAGUAAGCUUAAGUACAUCUUUGCUCUUUUCCUGAGUCAGACGAACUCAUUUCCUCAAGGCUCUGGGUGCAGAGGCUAUCAGUUGGUUUAUUUUAAUUGAGACCUAUACAAAUUGUUUUAUUUGAUAUAACAUUUCUUGGUCCAGUAAUAUAAUUUAAGUAUAGGUUUUCAGCUACUUUUAGAUUACCAUGUUUUUUAACAAGGGCGAAGUUGCAAUACCUUCACAGAAUUUAUUUCAAGUGAAAUGGCAGUAAAUGUCUUUUAAGAGAGCUGUAGUGAAUCAUUAUAUUUCUGAUAAUGAAUUGCAUGGAAUUUCUGGUCAUUUAUGUUAAUAAAGGGCAUUUAAAAAACUUCUUUGCAUUUUAUUAGACUCAUAAAUAUAUUGAAAAUGCUAAGAAUUUACCUUUAAGCUUCUCUAUAUCAACACCAAGGACAAUUAUCUUUUAACUAUUUAUUUUAUAAGCUUGGAAAGCAGGAGCAUGUUGCUUUUAUGGUAAUUGAAGUUUUCCAUCUUUCAGUUCGUUACCUAUCAAUAAUGUUACCCCAGAGAAAAUCCACCUGAGAAUAUGAGGUGUAUCCAGACAGGGAUAAGUGAACAGAGCAUGUUGUGAGCUUUAAUUUCAAUUCACAUAUCACAAAUUUACAAGUUCCCCCAGGUACUGGGAAUCUGGACAAGGUAGGCACAAAUAUGCAUUAGACCUGUUCUCACGGAAUUUGAUGCCCACUGGACAAUAAGAUGCUCAAGUCAUCCAUGUCCUGUGUGCAGGUUUCACACAGCUUUUCAGAUACUCCCACAAAGUCAUCUCAUGAGCAGGGCUGCCUUAGACUACCCUAGUUAAUGAUGCAACUUCUUGGCCACUUCUCAGUCCUUACUACUUUCCUGUCCUGUCUUUUGUCCCUUUACUAAUAGCUAAUUCUGUUCAUCAUCUUUCUUGUUUGUUAUUAUCAUCCUCCCAUUGAAAAGGGUGAAAUCCCCAAAUGAUUUCAAUGUCUUCUACUCAUCAGUAGAUCUGUAGAUCUCAAAUCAUGACUGACACAUAGUAGGCAGUCAGUAACACACAUAGGGAUGAGUCACGCUAAGACAGGUGGGAAAGUGGGUGCAUUCAAAGAGAAAGAGACAUUUGAACUUGCCUUAAGGAAGGAAUACAAAUGUGGAGGAGGAGUCGCUAUGUGCAAAGAUGUGUUCACGGAGGCAAGAUGGCCUGGGGUUGCCUAAAGAACAAGAUUUGGGGGUUGGAGGGAGGUGAUUCAGGCUUAGGGGAGAUGUGAGGAAAGUCUGAAGUAAUGGAAGUUGGGUCAGUUGAUGAAGGGACAGCAUAAAUGAAAAGUGGCAUUCAAUGUGGGCUUACCUUAUGAAAUCAAAGGGAAAAAAUCAUUCCCUUAUCCCGUAAGGAUAAUGGGAUAUUUUCAACUCAUCUCAUAAACCAAAUCUUCAAAGCAAUAAGCAAUAUUAACAGCUGAGGAUUAACAGGAGGAGUGAGCAGGGCUGAGUGCUAGGUUGUCAUCUGAGAUUAUAAGGAGUUCAUUCUCAGGCUCUAGGAACCUGGACCUCCCUGGACUGAACCAGGCCUAAGACCAAGUUUAGGAAGUCACCACAUGCUAAAGAAGUUGCUGCAUUGCAUGAUGAGGAAGGUCCCAGGAAAGGUGACAGAUUCAGACCUGAAGCUUCGGGGUUAGCUGCAGGAAGAGGAAAGCAGGGCCGUAUGUGCCCUACUUCAGAAGACAGGUCUGAAGACUGUGGAGACCAUGACCGAGGGCAGAGAGAGCAGCAGCCCCGUGGCCAUGGCCCUGGUACUGAAGAUGAAAGGUUCUGAGCUUGAGAGAAACUAAGCUUCAUUUAGGGAAGGAGAAAAUGAGAGCAAAUGUUUGGUUCUAUCCCAAAAGCCCAGAGAACGGGGUGGAUGAGCCCAGAGCAAAUGGGAUCCUCUGGUGACGGAGAUGUGCUGGGUGGUGGAGGUACUUAGGGCCAAGAUCAAUGUCAUAGAAAAAAGGGAGGGUACUUAAGCAUGACAGAUGGCUAAAGAGUGAGGACAGGAGAACAUCAGGAGCCGAGAAGCUCUCAGAUGUCCUAAGGGGUAUGGGUGGGGUAGAUCACAUUCAGCCAGAG